rnacentral:rRNA from 1 species
GUGGGGAAUAUUGGACAAUGGGCGAAAGCCUGAUCCAGCAAUGCCGCGUGCAGGAAGAAGGCCUUCGGGUUGUAAAGCUCUUUAGUCCACGAAUAUAAUGACUGUAGUGGAAGAAUAAGCCCCGGCUAACUUCGUGCCAGCAGCCGCGGUAAUACGAAGGGGGCGAGCGUUAUUCGGAAUCACUGGGCGUAAAGCGUGCGUAGGCUGUUUUGUAAGUCAGAAGUGAAAGCCCAGGGCUUAACCCUGGAAUUGCUUUUGAAACUACAAGACUCGAAUUCGGGAGAGGAUAGCGGAAUUGUCAGUGUAGCAGUGAAAUGCGUAGAUAUUGACAGGAACACCAGUGGCGCAAGCGGCUAUCUGGACCGAUAUUGACGCUGAGGCACGAAAGCGUGGGGAGCAAACAGGAUUAGAAACCCCGGUAGUCC